CUGUUACGAGCAGCUCAGAGAGAAUUAAAAGCAAAACUAUUAUUCAGAUGGAAAAUCAGAAGAUCUAUUUGAUGCUUAACCAAUUUGUCAAAAAGAUUCCUAUUAUGGUGGUCAUGAAGGCUAUGGGAAUGGAGAGUGAUCAAGAAGUAGUACAGAUGGUUGGAAGAGAUCCUCGAUAUGCUGCCCUGCUAAUGCCAUCUAUUGAGG